rnacentral:rRNA from 1 species
UACGAAGGGGGCUAGCGUUGCUCGGAAUCACUGGGCGUAAAGCGCACGUAGGCGGGUCGUUAAGUCGGGGGUGAAAUCCUGGAGCUCAACUCCAGAACUGCCUUCGAUACUGGCGACCUUGAGUCCGGGAGAGGUGAGUGGAACUCCGAGUGUAGAGGUGAAAUUCGUAGAUAUUCGGAAGAACACCAGUGGCGAAGGCGGCUCACUGGCCCGGUUCUGACGCUGAGGUGCGAAAGCGUGGGGAGCAAACAGG